rnacentral:rRNA from 1 species
CCUACGGGAGGCAGCAGUGGGGAAUAUUGCACAAUGGGGGAAACCCUGAUGCAGCGACGCCGCGUGAGUGAAGAAGGAAUUCGUUACGUAAAGCUCUAUCAGCAGGGGAGAAAAUGACGGUACCUGAGUAAGAAGCACCGGCUAACUUAGUGCCAGCAGCCGCGGUAAUACGGAGGGGGCAAGCGUUAUCCGGAUUUACUGGGUGGAAAGGGAGCGUAGACGGUGCGCCAAGGCUGGCGGGAAAUGCCCCAGCUUAACUGCGGAACUGCUUUUGAAACUGGCGAACUAGAGUGCGGGAGGGGUAAGCGGAAUGCGUGGUGUAGCGGUGAAAUGCGUAGAUAUUAGGAGGAACACCGGUGGCGAAGGCGGCUUACUGGACCGUAACUGACGUUGAGGCUCGAAAGCGUGGGGAGCAAACAGGAUUAGAUACCCCUGUAGUC